GACGAACGCUGGCGGCGUGCUUAACACAUGCAAGUCGAACGGAAAGGCCCUGCUUUUGUGGGGUGCUCGAGUGGCGAACGGGUGAGUAACACGUGAGUAACCUGCCCUUGACUUUGGGAUAACUUCAGGAAACUGGGGCUAAUACCGGAUAGGAGCUCCUGCUGCAUGGUGGGGGUUGGAAAGUUUCGGCGGUUGGGGAUGGACUCGCGGCUUAUCAGCUUGUUGGUGGGGUAGUGGCUUACCCAGGCUUUGACGGGUAGCCGGCCUGAGAGGGUGACCGGCCACAUGGGGACUGAGAUACGGCCCAGACUCCUACGGGAGGCAGCAGUGGGGAAUAUUGCACAAUGGGCGGAAGCCUGAUGCAGCAACGCCGCGUGCGGGAUGACGGCCUUCGGGUUGUAAACCGCUUUCGCCUGUGACGAAGCGUGAGUGACGGUAAUGGGUAAAGAAGCACCGGCUAACUACGUG
rnacentral:rRNA from 1 species